GCCGGCGUGGACGGGCGUGUCGAGCAGUUCCUGUUGCGGCCGGGUGACCUCGUCAAUCCGAUGAUCCGCUCGGCCGGUAUCCUCAUUCCCGAGGGCGCAGGACGGCAAGCUCUUGCUGCCGGAUUUGGACAGAUCGAAGCCCAGGUGAUGAAAGUCGGCAUGGUGGCGGAAGCGACCUGCAUUUCAAAACCAUGGGCCAU
rnacentral:misc_RNA from 1 species